CUGUAUAUAGUUUCCACAAUGGCACACAAAAAUGAUGGCAUUCUGUAUCUACUGACACAGAAGAUAAUUUCCCAGUAUUUUCUUUAAUGAACGACCUAUUAUGAACCAGCAAGAAAAACCCAUACUGCAUAAUUCUUCCACAGAUAAACUGGAGGGAUAUCCAGAUUUCAGGGCCGGAUCCUGGAAGAACACUCAGGCAGCAAUGACCUCUGACAUUUGGAAGGCCAAAAGACAGUUCAAUAAGUGGCUUAGACAGAGUGAAGCAAGAAGGAAUGUUCCACCCCACACUGGCAUGGUGCUCUGCUUCAUUCCGUUACACAUCUCUGCUUCUCCAUGA
rnacentral:lncRNA from 1 species